rnacentral:rRNA from 1 species
GGUUAAGCGACUAAGCGUACACGGUGGAUGCCCUGGCAGUCAGAGGCGAUGAAGGACGUGCUAAUCUGCGAUAAGCGUCGGUAAGGUGAUAUGAACCGUUAUAACCGGCGAUUUCCGAAUGGGGAAACCCAGUGUGUUUCGACACACUAUCAUUAACUGAAUCCAUAGGUUAAUGAGGCGAACCGGGGGAACUGAAACAUCUAAGUACCCCGAGGAAAAGAAAUCAACCGAGAUUCCCCCAGUAGCGGCGAGCGAACGGGGAGCAGCCCAGAGCCUGAAUCAGUGUGUGUGUUAGUGGAAGCGUCUGGAAAGGCGCGCGAUACAGGGUGACAGCCCCGUACACAAAAAUGCACAUGCUGUGAGCUCGAUGAGUAGGGCGGGACACGUGGUAUCCUGUCUGAAUAUGGGGGGACCAUCCUCCAAGGCUAAAUACUCCUGACUGACCGAUAGUGAACCAGUACCGUGAGGGAAAGGCGAAAAGAACCCCGGCGAGGGGAGUGAAAAAGAACCUGAAACCGUGUACGUACAAGCAGUGGGAGCACAGAAAUCUGUGUGACUGCGUACCUUUUGUAUAAUGGGUCAGCGACUUAUAUUCUGUAGCAAGGUUAACCGAAUAGGGGAGCCGAAGGGAAACCGAGUCUUAACUGGGCGUUAAGUUGCAGGGUAUAGACCCGAAACCCGGUGAUCUAGCCAUGGGCAGGUUGAAGGUUGGGUAACACUAACUGGAGGACCGAACCGACUAAUGUUGAAAAAUUAGCGGAUGACUUGUGGCUGGGGGUGAAAGGCCAAUCAAACCGGGAGAUAGCUGGUUCUCCCCGAAAGCUAUUUAGGUAGCGCCUCGUGAAUUCAUCUCCGGGGGUAGAGCACUGUUUCGGCAAGGGGGUCAUCCCGACUUACCAACCCGAUGCAAACUGCGAAUACCGGAGAAUGUUAUCACGGGAGACACACGGCGGGUGCUAACGUCCGUCGUGAAGAGGGAAACAACCCAGACCGCCAGCUAAGGUCCCAAAGUCAUGGUUAAGUGGGAAACGAUGUGGGAAGGCCCAGACAGCCAGGAUGUUGGCUUAGAAGCAGCCAUCAUUUAAAGAAAGCGUAAUAGCUCACUGGUCGAGUCGGCCUGCGCGGAAGAUGUAACGGGGCUAAACCAUGCACCGAAGCUGCGGCAGCGACGCUUAUGCGUUGUUGGGUAGGGGAGCGUUCUGUAAGCCUGUGAAGGUGUGCUGUGAGGCAUGCUGGAGGUAUCAGAAGUGCGAAUGCUGACAUAAGUAACGAUAAAGCGGGUGAAAAGCCCGCUCGCCGGAAGACCAAGGGUUCCUGUCCAACGUUAAUCGGGGCAGGGUGAGUCGACCCCUAAGGCGAGGCCGAAAGGCGUAGUCGAUGGGAAACAGGUUAAUAUUCCUGUACUUGGUGUUACUGCGAAGGGGGGACGGAGAAGGCUAUGUUGGCCGGGCGACGGUUGUCCCGGUUUAAGCGUGUAGGCUGGUUUUCCAGGCAAAUCCGGAAAAUCAAGGCUGAGGCGUGAUGACGAGGCACUACGGUGCUGAAGCAACAAAUGCCCUGCUUCCAGGAAAAGCCUCUAAGCAUCAGGUAACAUCAAAUCGUACCCCAAACCGACACAGGUGGUCAGGUAGAGAAUACCAAGGCGCUUGAGAGAACUCGGGUGAAGGAACUAGGCAAAAUGGUGCCGUAACUUCGGGAGAAGGCACGCUGAUAUGUAGGUGAGGUCCCUCGCGGAUGGAGCUGAAAUCAGUCGAAGAUACCAGCUGGCUGCAACUGUUUAUUAAAAACACAGCACUGUGCAAACACGAAAGUGGACGUAUACGGUGUGACGCCUGCCCGGUGCCGGAAGGUUAAUUGAUGGGGUUAGCGCAAGCGAAGCUCUUGAUCGAAGCCCCGGUAAACGGCGGCCGUAACUAUAACGGUCCUAAGGUAGCGAAAUUCCUUGUCGGGUAAGUUCCGACCUGCACGAAUGGCGUAAUGAUGGCCAGGCUGUCUCCACCCGAGACUCAGUGAAAUUGAACUCGCUGUGAAGAUGCAGUGUACCCGCGGCAAGACGGAAAGACCCCGUGAACCUUUACUAUAGCUUGACACUGAACAUUGAGCCUUGAUGUGUAGGAUAGGUGGGAGGCUUUGAAGUGUGGACGCCAGUCUGCAUGGAGCCGACCUUGAAAUACCACCCUUUAAUGUUUGAUGUUCUAACGUUGACCCGUGAUCCGGGUUGCGGACAGUGUCUGGUGGGUAGUUUGACUGGGGCGGUCUCCUCCUAAAGAGUAACGGAGGAGCACGAAGGUUGGCUAAUCCUGGUCGGACAUCAGGAGGUUAGUGCAAUGGCAUAAGCCAGCUUGACUGCGAGCGUGACGGCGCGAGCAGGUGCGAAAGCAGGUCAUAGUGAUCCGGUGGUUCUGAAUGGAAGGGCCAUCGCUCAACGGAUAAAAGGUACUCCGGGGAUAACAGGCUGAUACCGCCCAAGAGUUCAUAUCGACGGCGGUGUUUGGCACCUCGAUGUCGGCUCAUCACAUCCUGGGGCUGAAGUAGGUCCCAAGGGUAUGGCUGUUCGCCAUUUAAAGUGGUACGCGAGCUGGGUUUAGAACGUCGUGAGACAGUUCGGUCCCUAUCUGCCGUGGGCGCUGGAGAACUGAGGGGGGCUGCUCCUAGUACGAGAGGACCGGAGUGGACGCAUCACUGGUGUUCGGGUUGUCAUGCCAAUGGCACUGCCCGGUAGCUAAAUGCGGAAGAGAUAAGUGCUGAAAGCAUCUAAGCACGAAACUUGCCCCGAGAUGAGUUCUCCCUGACUCCUUGAGAGUCCUGAAGGAACGUUGAAGACGACGACGUUGAUAGGCCGGGUGUGUAAGCGCAGCGAUGCGUUGAGCUAACCGGUACUAAUGAACCGUGAGGCUUAACCUU